rnacentral:rRNA from 1 species
ACGGAGGGUGCAAGCGUUAUCCGGAUUCACUGGGUUUAAAGGGUGCGUAGGCGGGCAGGUAAGUCAGUGGUGAAAUCCCCGAGCUUAACUUGGGAACUGCCGUUGAUACUAUCUGUCUUGAAUACUGUGGAGGUAAGCGGAAUAUGUCAUGUAGCGGUGAAAUGCUUAGAUAUGACAUAGAACACCUAUUGCGAAGGCAGCUUGCUACACAGUCAUUGACGCUGAGGCACGAAAGCGUGGGGAUCAAACAGG